CCUACGGGGGGCAGCAGUGAGGAAUAUUGGUCAAUGGGCGCGAGCCUGAACCAGCCAAGUCGCGUGAGGGAAGACGGUCCUAUGGAUUGUAAACCUCUUGUGUCGGGGAGCAAAAGACGCCACGCGUGGCGUUCCGAGAGUACCCGAAGAAAAAGCAUCGGCUAACUCCGUGCCAGCAGCCGCGGUAAUACGGAGGAUGCGAGCGUUAUCCGGAUUUCUUGGGUUGAAAGGGUGCGCAGGCGGAAGAGCAAGUCAGCGGUAAAAUUGAGAGGCUCAACCUCUUCGAGCCGUUGAAACUGGUUUUCUUGAGUGAGUGUGCCGUAUGCGGACUGCGUGGUGUAGCGGU
rnacentral:rRNA from 1 species